UACGUAGGGAGCGAGCGUUGUCCGGAUUUAUUGGGCGUAAAGAGCUCGUAGGCGGUUUGGUAAGUCGGGUGUGAAACCUCCAGGCUCAACCUGGAGCCGCCACUCGAUACUGCCAUGACUUGAGUCUGGUAGGGGACCACGGAAUUCCGGGUGUAGCGGUGGAAUGCGUAGAGAUCCGGAAGAACACCGGUGGCGAAGGCGGUUAGCUGGGCAGUUGCUGACACUGAGGCGCGACAGCGUGGGGAGCAAACAGG
rnacentral:rRNA from 1 species